UUCAUUGUCCUCUCCUGUCUUCUGAACCCGUGAAUACUUUUUGCAUGAAGACUUGAAGCAGCUGGGAGGCCAAGAUAUCGGCCAAGAAAAGCUACAAGGAACAGAGCCUUGCACGUUCUUCUCAAAGAAAUAAAAUAUUGGAUACCACCAGGCUCGAGAGAGAAAGUUUGUCUGCGAAGAGACCUUUAAAGUCUGCAUUGGCACAAGCAGUGGGCCACAAGGACUCAGGCAGAAACUAAGGCAAGAAUUUGGAAGCAAAGGCUCUUACCUUUGGUGCACACUGAAAAUGCAUCCCAGGCACAGAGAGGUUGAACACUACCACCACUUCAAGUCUCUGCAUGCCAGUUUGCUGUGCUGUAUGUACAAUUCAGUCACCAUGAUGGAAGAAGAACUUGGUUUAAGACAAAACAACCUGCUCAAGAAAAAACUAUCCAGCUCAUUUUGGAGAGGAUGGAUUCAGCGUUUCAGAUCUGGACUGAAGAGUCUGCUAACCUGAAUUGAGACUUAGGCUCCGAAUCGACUGCUUUUGAAUAGAGGCAAAAAAGGUA